rnacentral:rRNA from 1 species
GUAGUCUCGCACAGAUGCAUAUCAAUAAGCGGAGGAAAAGAAACUAACAAGGAUUCCCUUAGUAACGGCGAGUGAAGCGGGAAGAGCUCAAAUUUGAAAUCUUCAAGGUUUUACCUUGACGAAUUGUAGUUUAAAGAAGUGUUUUCUGUUGAAGUUUUGGUAAAAGUUCUUUGGAAUAGGACAUCAUAGAGGGUGAGAAUCCCGUAUUUGACCAUUAUUUUCAGCUGUGUGAUACACUUUCAAAGAGUCGGAUUGUUUGGGAAUGCAGUCCAAAAUGGGUGGUAAAUUUCAUCUAAAGCUAAAUAUUGGCGAGAGACCGAUAGCGAACAAGUACCGUGAGGGAAAGAUGAAAAGAACUUUGAAAAGAGAGUUAAACAGUACGUGAAAUUGUCAAAAGGGAAGCGUUUGACACCAGUGUUGCUUUUCUGAAAAUCAAUUAAAGAACUGUUUAUGCUAAGCUGUUUAGACUUUAUCAGCUAUCUGUUUAGUUUUGAGCUUUUCUUUAAUGACACUUUUCAGUUAACAAGUCAACAUCAAUUUCUUUUGCUGUAAAAAAGCUUGAGGAAGGUGGCUUGAGAUUCGUCUUAAGUGUUUAUAGCCUCUUGCCUAUGCAGUCGGAGAGAUUGAGGUCUGCAGCGUAGAUCCUUCGGGGCUAAAUGUAUUUGUGCUAAGUUAUAGCAUUUUAUAGACAACUUGUUGACUAUGAUUUGUCUUGUAGCUUACUCGCUUAUGUUAUUUUACCUACGCUUAGGAUGUUGAUGUGAUACUGCGAGCA